UUCCCUCAGUAACGGCGAGUGAAGAGGGAACUUGCCCAAAUUUGAAAUCUGGCUUCCUUCUGGGGGUCCGAGUUGUAAAUUUGAGAACUGUUUUUCAGUGCUGGUCCAUGCAUAAGUCUGUUGGAAAACAGCAUCAUUGAGGGUGAAAAUCCCGUCUUUGGUAUGGUUCAACCAGUGCAAUAUGAUACAGUUUCUAAGAGUCGAGUUGUUUGGGAAUGCAGCUCAAAAAGGGUGGUAAAUUCCAUCUAAGGCUAAAUAUCCGUGAGAGACCGAUAGCAAACAAGUACCGUGAGGGAAAGAUGAAAAGAACUUUGGAAAGAGAGUUAACAGUACGUGAAAUUGUUCAAAGGGAAACAAUUGAAGUUACACUUGUUAUUGUUGGUUCAGCUCAUUUCUGGGUGUAUUCCAAUAAUUAACAGACCAACAUCAAUCUUUGGGUGUUGGAUAAGGGUUUGGGGGAUGUAACAGUCUCUGGCUGUGUUAUAAUCCUGGACUUUGAUACAAUGCUUAGGAUUGAGGAAUGCAGUAAGCCAAGUAAUAUUGGUGGGCCGUCACACACCUUUUUUGGGGUGUGCAAGGGUCUUCUUACUGAGGAUGUUGGUAUGAUAGCUUUAA
rnacentral:rRNA from 1 species